AACCACCACCUGGGAUAUGCCGCAGGUCCUCAGGAGGCAUCCCUGCGGAGGGGAAACCAAAGGAAGAGGAGGCUUUGCCACCUCUCGCCCAGGGCAAGAAAGUGAGAUUUGCUGGCAAGCCAACCUACAUCAAACGCUUGAGCUCGGACAGUCUAGAUGGAGGAAAACUCCGAAGGAUAAGGAGCUUACUGCGCAAGGAGAGCUCUACGUCCAGGUGAGGCUGGAGGCUCUGGCUUGGCAUGUGCAUGGGGGUGAUUGACUGAGCCAACGAGAGCCCAUUCCCUAGCCCCAAAGGGUCCCUGUUUCUGGCUGCCCAACAGUGCUGGGAUGGGGACGCCAGGAGCCCCCCAGCUCACAGGGCUGGCCCCUCUCUGGAUCCCACGGGGGAGAGCCACGGGGCAGCUGCUGAGCUGUCUGUGGGGAAGGCUGCGUUGCAGCCAAGGGUCCUGGCUCCGGCUUGCAGGACGCAGCCCCAAAACCAUCACCCACUCAGGCGGACCCCUC
rnacentral:lncRNA from 1 species